rnacentral:rRNA from 1 species
GAAACUUAAAGGAAUUGGCGGGGGAGCACUACAACGGGUGGAGCCUGCGGUUUAAUUGGACUCAACGCCGGAAAACUCACCUGGGGCGACAGCAAUAAGUAGGUCAGGCUGAAGGUCUUACCUGAAUCGCUGAGAGGAGGUGCAUGGCCGUCGUCAGUUCGUACUGUGAAGCAUCCUGUUAAGUCAGGCAACGAGCGAGACCCGUGCCCACUGUUGCCAGCAUAUCCUUCGGGAUGAUGGGUACUCUGUGGGGACCGCUGGUGCUAAACCAGAGGAAGGUGCGGGCUACGGUAGGUCAGUAUGCCCCGAAUCUCCAGGGCUACACGCGGGCUACAAUGACCGGGACAAUGGGCUCCUACCCCGAAAGGGGUUGGAAAUCUCAUAAACCCGGCCUUAGUUCGAAUUGAGGGCUGCAACUCGCCCUCAUGAAGCUGGAAUCCGUAGUAAUCGCGUUUCAAUAUAGCGCGGUGAAUACGUCCCUGCUCCUUGCACACACCGCCCGUCAAACCACCCGAGUGAGGUAUGGGGUGAGGGCACGGACCUAGUGCCGUGUUCGAACCUAAAAUUUCGCAAGGGGGGGUUAAGUCGUAACAA